UCGGCGUGCGUUUGAGCAACGUGUUCUUAAGGAGGGUGGGGGUGGCAGAGCGGCGGCGGUGGUGGCGGCGUCGAUCUAUUCUUCUUUUUUUCUCUCUCUUCUUGAGCAGCCCUCCCGAGCUCUAGACACAGCCCUCUCUCCCUUAAGAACUCUAGCCUUAGCCUUGUUCGCCCGCGCGAGCCCUAGCCCCAAUGGUAUGUUAAAAAGGGUCCUUGGAAAUCACUUACACGAUUACCUCAGUUUCCCACCGUUUUUCAGAUCGUCAUCAUCAAGGGACUACAUGCUUCGUGGGGAGCCGAUGUCGUAACUUCUGCAAGCUGGACGACCUCCGCGGUUCUUCAAGAGACGACGUAUGAGCUUGACGCGCUUCUUCGGUAGGACUAUAGCAAAAACCGUAGGGGAAGAGCAUCAAAUCCUAAAAAUACGUUAAAAUAAGACUGAGAAAAGAGGGUGGUUAGAGAGACCGAACGACGAAGUGCUAUUAGCUGGUCAAGAGAUCAGAAAGAGGGAGACAAGGAGAGACGAGACGAGAGACUGAGCUUGACGUUGUUACCGACGGGGCUGGAGACGCUAGCCCAAACUCCCGAUGCUCUUCGCGGAGCUCUAGUGGAAGAGGCUCCGUAGUUAGAAACGGCUGGGAGUACCAGCACCGGACGCGCGGGAGAGGUCCCGGGUCUAACUGAGACAAGAACUAGAACGUGCCACGUGGUAACACAGGCUCGAGAGGUUGUUCCUGAAGCUGAGGAUACACGAUAGACUCAGCUCGGACAAGUAGAUGAGAGUCUUCUAACACUAGUUCUGGACACCCUGAUGGUACGAGGACGAGUGGUAAGGAUCCUAAGAACUCGAACGACUUCUCGACACGUACGGCGAACGACGGCACUUCAUGAGAGCACCCUACAAGUAGAAGGGGCCGCGUGUCGGACGAGGGGUGUCCUCGAAGAGACUCCUCCAACUACAGGACUUGGCGAUGAAGCCGGUGGACUUCAGACCGCCGUUACGAAUACACUAGCCUCUGGGUCGCUUCGGACCGGUCUUCACCGUGUAGAUGAUACGGUGGCUCGUUGGACUCGUCGGGUACCAGUGGGACCUCUACACGUACUGACCCGACCUGUUCUUCUUCCGGAGACAGAAGAAGUUCUGAGUUCGACUAUCGGUGCAAAGGACGCGGUUCCUCUACUGGUUCGAGAGACCAUAGAGGCUGUAGUAAGGGCUCUACCUCCAGACACUGAAGCUGAAGCUCGGGACGCCGAUGAGGUACUUGCGGUAGUUGCCUAGACGGCAGAGGUGGUAGGUACACUGGGGGCUCCUGCCGAAGUCGAUACGCUCGAUGCUCCAGUACCCGUACCUGCGGAGGCGGGACCGGAUGCCGCUGUAGCAGUUCUCCCAGGAGGCCACGAAACCGGGAAGUCUCAAGAGACGCCGCCAGUGGUAGAAACCACCGGCGCCGGUGCGGCGGUGGACCCCGUUCUUCGAGCUGCGGCUCCGUAUGCUGACGUUGUUGCAACACCUCGUCCUCGAGGGGACACCUCCGCAGGAGUAGAUGGUCUCGAAAUGGCACUUGCUUCUCCAACGACAGAGACGGCCCAGCGGGUCCAGGCAGAAGGUGACGAAGCUCCGGCUCUCACACGUGUCGGUGGGAGACCAGUUCCUUCCGUUCGAGCGGUUGGAGGAGCGUACCGCCCGCCUCCUCCUAAGAGACCUUCUCCCGCGCCACGACACGCUCACUUCUGUACUAAACGACAGCGAUAAGGUAGACACCUUAAACAAGACUGACAGUCAAACAGCAAACCAAUGACACUUCGUCGGCCGGUCCGAUAACGAGAGACUUAUUUGAUAAUCGAGAUCCACCAAACGACGCAGACGGUGUUACUCGCAUGAAGACCCCUUUUCGACAGAGCUUGAAUAUUUAUUCGUAAUAAAAAGGAUAUUGCUCACAGUAAAACAAUAUUAAUCACAAUGAGACACGGUUCAACGUCACACAACUGUUCGCUGGUCA
rnacentral:rRNA from 1 species